AAUAUGAUAAGUUUUAUGUUCUUGGUUUUUGAAUCUAAUAACAUUUAUGUCCCUGUAUUUUAAAUCUGAUAACUUCUAUAUUCUUGGAUCUCGAAUCCGAUAACUUUUAUAUUCUUGGAUCUUGAAUCUGAUAACUUUUAUGUUCUUGAAUUUUGAAUAUGAUAACUUUUAUGUUCUUGGAUUUUGAAUCCGUUAACUUAUAUAUUCUUGGAUUUUGAAUAUGAUAACUUCUAUGUUCUUAGAUUUUAAAUUUGAUAAUUUCUAUGUUCUUAGCUUUUGAAUUUGAUAAAUUCUGUGCUUUUAGAUUUAGAAUACGAUAAUCCUAUGCCAUAAAUGAAUAAGUUAAUAUGUUAGGUUUUCUUUGAUGAUAAUUCACAUGUGUUUGCAUGAUUAGAUUUAAGUUUUAUUAAUAUCAUACGAUUAGCCUAAUUUUUAUGCUUUUUAAAAGUUGUUAUGUUUAGGUAUUUGCUUAUUGUAAAUUUUCUUUCAUUUGCUUUUAUUUUCAUGCUUUGAGUAUGUAUUAAUCUUGUUUUAUGUGUUCCAUGCAUGUAAUGUUGGACUUUUGGGAGUGGAAUGCUGAAACAAUUAAAAUCGGUGUUGGAGAGAAUUGUAGAGCUUAUCGACUCAAUGCACAUCCAAUUGACUGUGCAUUGAGCCGACCGGCUCUUUGAUGUCACCUGUCAAAGUUUUUUCAUAUAUAUUCUGUUUUGCGAUUUUCGAGUUUUAUUAUUAUUUUUUAUCAUUUUUAACUUAGAUUGGUAAUUUUAAAAUUUAUUAAUUAUAGAAAGAGUUAUAAUAAUUUAAGUUUAUUGCUUUCUUUAUUUUUUGCUUUAUUUUGAUGGAUGAAUGUCAAAUAAUUGAUGUUUGAUUGUAAAUUAAAAUUGAAUACCUAGACAUAGGCUA
rnacentral:lncRNA from 1 species